rnacentral:rRNA from 1 species
UACGUAGGGUGCAGGCGUUUAAUCGGAAUUACUGGGCGUAAAGCGUGCGCAGGCGGUCUUUUAAGUCAGAUGUGAAAUCCCCGGGCUUAACCUGGGAACUGCGUUUGAAACUGAAAGGCUAGAGUGUGGCAGAGGGGGGUGGAAUUCCACGUGUAGCAGUGAAAUGCGUAGAGAAUGUGGAGGAACACCGAUGGCGAAGGCAGCCCCCUGGGCUAACACUGACGCCUCAUGCACGAAAGCGUGGGGAGCAAACAG